rnacentral:rRNA from 1 species
AACGAACGCUGGCGGCAUGCCUAACACAUGCAAGUCGAACGAAGGCUUCGGCCUUAGUGGCGCACGGGUGCGUAACGCGUGGGAAUCUGCCCCUAGGUACGGAAUAACAGCGAGAAAUUGCUGCUAAUACCGUAUGAUGACGAAAGUCCAAAGAUUUAUCGCCUAGGGAUGAGCCCGCGUAGGAUUAGCUUGUUGGUGAGGUAAAAGCUCACCAAGGCGACGAUCCUUAGCUGGUCUGAGAGGAUGAUCAGCCACACUGGGACUGAGACACGGCCCAGACUCCUACGGGAGGCAGCAGUGGGGAAUAUUGGACAAUGGGCGAAAGCCUGAUCCAGCAAUGCCGCGUGAGUGAUGAAGGCCUUAGGGUUGUAAAGCUCUUUUACCCGGGAAGAUAAUGACUGUACCGGGAGAAUAAGCCCCGGCUAACUCCGUGCCAGCCGCCGCCGUAA